GAUGAACGCUGGCGGCGUGCCUAAUACAUGCAAGUCGAGCGAACAGACGAGGAGCUUGCUCCUCUGACGUUAGCGGCGGACGGGUGAGUAACACGUGGAUAACCUACCUAUAAGACUGGGAUAACUUCGGGAAACCGGAGCUAAUACCGGAUAAUAUAUUGAACCGCAUGGUUCAAUAGUGAAAGACGGUUUUGCUGUCACUUAUAGAUGGAUCCGCGCCGCAUUAGCUAGUUGGUAAGGUAACGGCUUACCAAGGCAACGAUGCGUAGCCGACCUGAGAGGGUGAUCGGCCACACUGGAACUGAGACACGGUCCAGACACCUACGGGAGGCAGCAGUAGGGAAUCUUCCGCAAUGGGCGAAAGGAUGACGGAGCAACGCCGCGUGAGUGAUGAAGGUCUUCGGAUCGUAAAACUCUGUUAUUAGGGAAGAACAAAAGUGUAAGUAACUAUGCACGUAUUGACGGUACCUAAUCAGAAAGCAACGGCUAACUACGUG
rnacentral:rRNA from 1 species